rnacentral:rRNA from 1 species
UACGUAGGGUGCGAGCGUUAAUCGGAAUUACUGGGCGUAAAGCGUGCGCAGGCGGUUUUGUAAGCCAGAUGUGAAAUCCCCGGGCUUAACCUGGGAAUGGCAUUUGGGACUGCAAGGCUGGAGUGCGGCAGAGGAGACUGGAAUUCCUGGUGUAGCAGUGAAAUGCGUAGAUAUCAGGAGGAACACCGAUGGCGGAGGCAGGUCUCUGGGCUGACACUGACGCUCAUGCACGAAGGCGUGGGGAGCAAACAGG